rnacentral:rRNA from 1 species
UACAGAGGUCUCAAGCGUUGUUCGGAUUCAUUGGGCGUAAAGGGUGCGUAGGUGGCGGGGCAAGUUUGGUGUGAAAUCCCGGGGCUCAACCCUGGAAUUGCAUUGAAUACUACCUUGCUAGAGUACCGGAGAGGAAACUGGAAUUUACGGUGUAGCAGUGAAAUGCGUAGAGAUCGUAAGGAAGACCAGUGGCGAAGGCGAGUUUCUGGACGGUAACUGACGCUGAGGCACGAAGGCCAGGGGAGCAAACGGG